ensembl:lncRNA
CGCAGUGCCGGGGAGCGCUUUGGGACGCUGCUUUACCCACUCUGGGACGUGCCGAUCCCUACCUGGAGCGCCCGAACACCGAGCGGGAGCGUGCGCACACCACGCUCACAGUUUCUCUUCAAUUGCUAGAACACUGUUUGGAAAGUAACACAGUAAAAUGUAUGGAACGCACUCUAGGUACAUGGCCGGAACCCUCUGAAGAAGUGAGACUACAGAGGAGCCAUGCAGCAGGGCACAUGAACAAGGGAGGGCUGCAGCUGACUGCCCCCAGUUUACCUAGGACAUGCAGUACUACAUCAUGGGGAUGGGAUAAAUCAAAGCAUUUGAAGCUGGAGAACAAUGUGACUUGCUUAAUUGCCAAACAGAAGGAUGAGCACAUUGACUCCUGAACUCCAGAAAAUCAGACUGGUCAGUGGCACCUCAGGACCUCAUGUCCAUCUUCUGCUUGUCUGGAAGCAUCCACAUUGUCCCACAGCUGAGUCUGAAAACAGACAAGAGCUCUAGCAGUGACCUCAGUGGAAAGGUUCUCUCACCAUCGUAUGCUGCUCUCUGUCCCACCAUCCUCUGUGGCAUUUGGGAGAAAUGCCCUCCAGACAAAGAGGACUUCAGAUCCCAGCACUACACUGAUUGUCUCGGAUGCUUGUAAACAACUGAAACCUUUCUUGUAUGAUAUGGACACAAAGUCUGACAUGAGAUGUCACUUCUGCAGAUGCUGUCAUGUGUCUCAUGACUAGGACUCACUGUGACAAGUCUAGGCAGUAACAGGAGAGUGACUGACAGUCGGGUGAGUCUGUGUACUUUAAUGAAGAAUGAGUCAAACUGUUUGCACACUUCUCAUGAGUGUCAGGGAGUUCAGGGGACAGAGUGAUGGCAAGAAAGCUUAAUACUUAUUUAUGAGAUCUGCCUUCACCAGCUGACGCUGAAUAUAAGGAUAAAGAUCUUUCCCUUCUCUAAGAUGGACAGCUACUGUCAUAGGAUCUUUGAUACAAUCCUUGGAAGCUUAGGACAUUAAAUCUGUGCUAGUGCCCCUGGCCCACUGCAGAGGUGAAGAUACAGCUUGGAGAUAUGGUGUGGAAAUAGGCAUCGAGGAAGUCAGAAGGCAAACCAGUGCCAUUCUUGAGGAAAUAGUAUUCUAACAGCAGAAAGCAACCUCUCAAGCAAGUGAACUUGUUCAGCUUUGGUCAGUGUAGUAAGUUACUGGUGUCUGUAGUUCUUCUGCACUAGAAGGUAGCAGCAAUAAAAGCCUUCUCUAAACGAAGAAGAGACCUCAUAUUGGGACAAGCUUUGGUGGGAGAGGUCUUGGAAAAAAGGUGAGAAAAGAGAAUUGUGAUACAAUACAUAACUAGAAGCUAUUGCCGGGCAUGCAAGUUGUGAGAAAGAAGAGGAGGACAAGUUGCCAGGAUUCAUACUAACAGAUACCUGACAACCUUAUUACUUGGGGCAACUGUGGCCCCCCGGGGGUCAGAGCAGUAUUGCCCUCUCCGAUAGAAGCAGUCCUGCUGCAUUACACAUUUCCAUAACAAGCUAAGGUGUGGCUCACAUGCAGAAGGGAUUAAGGUGUGCUAUUCUCGAAGUCCUGCAGGGGGAUUACCUGUCUCUGCCAUUUGAUAAAAGAGGUAAAGCUGCUACCUCUUCUGCAGGAGGAGUAAAUGAGUGUGGGGAGCAGCUUUGUGCUUCUUUCCCAGUUGUCUGCUUUCUUCAGCCUUGUGCAGACAAGGGGUCAGACUUCUACUAGCUCUGAUUUGGAGUGGAACAGAUUAAGUCUGCUCUCACUGUGAUAUCACAGGUCACAUAUCUUCCUGCUAUUCGCACUGGGAUCAGGCAACCCACAUCAGGGUUUGUGACAGUCACUGUUGCCCCCAUUCUUAAAUGGUGUUAAGGUGCUCGUAAACAAACGUUGCAGCUGGUUAUUUGCAGGACAUACACAGCAGGAGGUGAGCAAACUCUCCUGCAUGGCAUUGCCAGCAGAGCUGUGUUGAGU